UACGUAGGGUGCAAGCAUUAAUCGGAAUUACUGGGCGUAAAGCGUGCGCAGGCGGCUUUGCAAGACAGAUGUGAAAUCCCCGGGCUCAACCUGGGAACUGCAUUUGUGACUGCAUCGCUGGAGUGCGGCAGAGGGGGAUGGAAUUCCGCGUGUAGCAGUGAAAUGCGUAGAUAUGCGGAGGAACACCGAUGGCGAAGGCAAUCCCCUGGGCCUGCACUGACGCUCAUGCACGAAAGCGUGGGGAGCAAACAGG
rnacentral:rRNA from 1 species